GUGUUGAUGAGAUUAUCAUCAACUAAAAAAUCUCAUUAAAAAAUAUGUUCUUCUCUCUCCAUACCUCCAGCAUCGUCAGAUGACAACCACCACUCUUUUAGAUCAAAACGGCGAUUUCCACAACCGCCACCGUCUCAAAUCAAAACGGCGAUUUACAUGGCCAUUGGUUCCAUUUUAUCUCCGGCCAAGCCCCAAAGCGGCGGCGUUACCACUCUCUUAGAUCAAAACGGCGAUUUCCACAACCGCCGCCGUCUCAAAUCAAAACGGCGAUUUACAUGGCCAUUGGUUCCAUUUUAUCUCUGGCCAAGCCCCAAAGCGGCGGCGUUAGGGUUGCUUUGCGAACUGGCCGCCGGAAUGCGACAACGCAAGUCAUUGCUGGAGUUCAGAAAUAUUUUGUGAAGAAUAUUUAGUUGUCUCUCCAGGAGAAAGGAUAUGCCAUUCACUGAUAAACACAAGGCAUGGCAGCAACUGAGAAGGGGCCGUUAUGUGGAAUUCACUAAUUCAAUUUGGUGUAUGAUCGAGGAACAACAUUCGGUCUUAAAACUGGAGGUCGGAUUGAAAGCAUUCUUGUCUCUUCUGUACUCGAUUCUGGUACGGCCGAACCGAUUCGGGAUUCGAGGGGGGAUCUGCGUUUCCUGUGACUAUGGUCCGCCGUACAUGGCUCUACGGCGGCUUGGGUUCUACUACAAAGCCGACGAUGACGGUGGUUUAGGGUUAUCGGUUUAGUGGCCUCUAGGGUUCCACUGCCAAUCCGACAACGACGAUGAUUGGGGUUGUCUCCGUAGCGGUGGCUAGAGAGGAGAAUGAUGUUCAAUUUGAUGUAUGCUUCUUCUUUGUUUAAUUUGAUGUUAUUCUAAUGCGAUAACUUGAGGUUUGUUCCUGUACAACAUCACAGAAAAGCCAUGAAUUACUUUUUAAGGUUUGUUGAUUUUAAUGUGAUUUGAUACUCUUGAAUUGAACAUGAAUUUUGUGUUGUAGUUGGUCUUAGUGGCAGGGGGAUACACCGAAAGCAAUGUGAUUGAUGCCAUGAAGUUCGUGUUCGGAAAGAAAGCAAACAAGGUAAUGGUUUAUUUGAUUUGCACACUAAUGUAUUGAUUGAAUUGAAUAUUUACCUUCGGGUUCAUUUGGUUCGCGCAAUUAAUUGGAUUACAUAACGGAUUUAGAAAACAUUCCAUUCAAAAUUAUGUUUUUUUUUAUCUCAGUUAUGGAAUUCACUUGCCUUACAUUAUUGGAUGGAAUGUUCAAAUGUUACCAUUUUACCCUUUGUCCGACAACGAAAAAGAACAUGUAAAACUAUUGUUUUAACAAUAUGUACAUACAUCAUCGAUUCACUCCAUUGGAGUAAACAGACAUAUAUCAUUGAUUCAGCAGAAAAACCAUGAAGUUUUUAGUAAACAAACCUUUUUUACUAAAACUUGGAAUUGAUGGAGAACACCUUAAAAUAAAAAUAAAAAGGAAUCAAAUUGGGGCUAAUGAGUAGGGGAGGAAACCUGAAAGCAGAUGCACUGAACUGAAAUCCACUCGCCACAAUAUUAAAAUCCAAUCGGUUUCAUCGCUUUCUAUAAUUUAUUUUGGAUUUCCACAAAAGCAUCUCUAAUCGGUAAUGCGCUUUUUACGCAAAGUUUCAUCGGUUAUAAAUGCACGGUUAUACCUGUGGACCUGUUCGGGUUGGAAGACAUUUUGGUCAGAGUUUGUUACAGGUAAGUGGUUCAGGUCAUUACGGGUUCGUGAACGAUCAAGUCAUUACAGAGUUUGUUACAGGUAAGAAGUGGUUCAGGUCAUUACGGAAGUGAUUCACGUCCUAAGUGUAAAAGUGUGCUAUUUAUUGCAAUUUGAUCUUUUUUUAACAAAAAAAUUGAAGCCUUUUACUUUUUUAUUUGAGGGAUUGAUGGUAGAAUCACACUGGGGCCUUUCUCAUUUCUUUAAAAGAAAGUGAUGAACCAGUAUGUGAUUUCGCAUGUUUAAAGUGUUAAUCAUUAGGAAAUUACGAAGCUUUUUAAUUAAUAAAUUUUCAUAUGGAUUUAUAAAAGUGCUGUUAAAACAAGUUAUGAUAAAUCACUUUGCCAAAUUGAUUUUUGGUAUCAUUCAAAUCAACAUAUAUCUACUCUUUUUUUAUUGCGCACUUAUAGCUGCGCACAUAAUGAAUCUUCAUUUGUUGAUAAGAUUUCUUAUGUUUUAGGCAUGCUAAAGGCCUAAAGGGUGAGCGCAACAAACUUGGCAACCGUGUUGAAAAAGAACCAGUUGAAGAUGGUUUCUUAGAUUACUAUAGCGGCUAACAAGUGUUUGGUUUUCAAAUCUGAGUCACCUAUAUCAAAUCCAUAAUUAUGAGGUAUACGAAAACGAAAUCCCCUGCCACUCAAGGAUCAAUGGUAUGGCAUUUGUAGCACCCACCUUCACACGGAAUUAAGUUUGUUAGGGAUCUUAGUUGCGAAGGUUUUCUAACUUUUAUGUAUGUUUCCUAUGUAUGCGUAGGUCGUAUAUAAUACAUUUUUAUUUUGGAUCGACGGUGUUAAUUUGACUUAGUUUGUGUUUUGACCCGCCGCAACACGUGGCGGGUAGGUUUUACAUCUCAA